ACGGAAGGCAGCAGUGGGGAAUAUUGCACAAUGGGGGAAACCCUGAUGCAGCGACGCCGCGUGAGUGAUGAAGUAUUUCGGUAUGUAAAACUCUAUCAGCAGGGAAGAAGAUGACGGUACCUGACUAAGAAGCACCGGCUAAAUACGUGCCAGCAGCCGCGGUAAUACGUAUGGUGCAAGCGUUAUCCGGAUUUACUGGGUGUAAAGGGAGCGCAGGCGGCCAUGCAAGCCAGAGGUGAAAACCCGGGGCUCAACCCCGUGAUUGCCUUUGGAACUGUUUGGCUUGAGUACUGGAGGGGCAGGCGGAAUUCCUGGUGUAGCGGUGAAAUGCGUAGAUAUUAGGAAGAACACCAGUGGCGAAGGCGGUUAGCUGGACAGUAACUGACGCUGAGGCGCGAAAGCGUGGGUAGCAAACAGGAUUAGAUACCCGGGUA
rnacentral:rRNA from 1 species